UACGUAGGAUGCAAGCGUUGUUCGGAAUUACUGGGCGUAAAGAGUACGUAGGCGGUUUGAUAAGUCUGCUAUUAAAGACUGGAGCUUAACUCCAGGACUGUAGUGGAAACUGUCAGACUAGAGGACAAUAGAGGAAGUGGGAAUUCUCAGUGUAGCGGUGAAAUGCGUAGAUAUUGGGAAGAACACCAGUGGCGAAAGCGCACUUCUGGGUUGUUACUGACGCUGAGGUACGAAAGCGUGGGUAGCAAACAG
rnacentral:rRNA from 1 species